GACGAACGCUGGCGGCGUGCUUAACACAUGCAAGUCGAACGGAAAGGCCCUUCGGGGUACUCGAGUGGCGAACGGGUGAGUAACACGUGGGUGAUCUGCCCUGCACUUUGGGAUAAGCCUGGGAAACUGGGUCUAAUACCGAAUAGGACCACGCGCUUCAUGGUGUGUGGUGGAAAGCUUUUGCGGUGUGGGAUGGGCCCGCGGCCUAUCAGCUUGUUGGUGGGGUAAUGGCCUACCAAGGCGACGACGGGUAGCCGGCCUGAGAGGGUGACCGGCCACACUGGGACUGAGAUACGGCCCAGACUCCUACGGGAGGCAGCAGUGGGGAAUAUUGCACAAUGGGCGCAAGCCUGAUGCAGCGACGCCGCGUGAGGGAUGACGGCCUUCGGGUUGUAAACCUCUUUCAAUAGGGACGAAGCGCUAGUGACGGUACCUAUAGAAGAAGCACCGGCCAACUACGUG
rnacentral:rRNA from 1 species